UGCGGAGGGAUCAUUACACAAUACAAUAUGAAGGCUGUCCGCAGCUGGAGUAUUUUAUUACCCUUGUCUUUUGCGCACUUGUUGUUUCCUGGGCGGGUUCGCUCGCCACCAGGACCACCAAAUAAACCUUUUUUAUGCAGUUGCAAUCAGCGUCAGUACAAACAAUGUAAAUCAUUUACAACUUUCAACAACGGAUCUCUUGGUUCUGGCAUCGAUGAAGAACGCAGCGAAAUGCGAUACGUAGUGUGAAUUGCAGAAUUCAGUGAAUCAUCGAAUCUUUGAACGCACAUUGCGCCCUUUGGUAUUCCAAAGGGCAUGCCUGUUCGAGCGUCAUUUGUACCCUCAAGCUUUGCUUGGUGUUGGGCGUUUUUGUCUUUGGUCGCCCAAAGACUCGCCUUAAAGUGAUUGGCAGCCGGCCUUUCUGGUUUCGCAGCGCAGCACAUUUUUGCGCUUGCCAUCAGCAAAACGGCAAUCCAUCAAGCCUCCUUCUCACGUUUGACCUCGGAUCAGGUAGGGAUACCCGCUGAACUUAAGCAUAUC
rnacentral:rRNA from 1 species